AGGAUGUGGGAUUGCACAGACAACCAGGAUGUUGGCUUAGAAGCAGCCACUCAUUUAAAGAGUGCGUAAUAGCUCACUGGUCGAGUGAUUCUGCGCCGAAAAUUUCCGGGGCUAAAACAUACUACCGAAGCUACGGCAUCAUUUUUGAUGAUGGGUAGGGGAGCUUCCCAUGCAGGUUGAAGCGAUACCGUAAGGAGUCGUGGACAGUAUGGGAGAGAGAAUGUUGGCAUGAGUAGCGAGAUGAAGGUGAGAAUCCUUCAGGCCGUAAACCCAAGGUUUCCAGGGGAAGGUUCGUCCUCCCUGGGUUAGUCGGGACCUAAGCUCAGGCCGAAAGGCGUAGGCGAUGGACAACAGGUUGAUAUUCCUGUACUACCGAUAAUUGUUUGAGAGAAGGGAUGACACAGUAGGAUAAGCUGAGCACACUGUUGGUUAUGUGUGUCUAAGUAUUGAGGCAGACUGGAUAGGCAAAUCCGUCCAGUUAAUGCUAGGAUACGAUGGGGAGCGAAACUAAGUAGCGAAGCAGCUGAUUUCACACUGUCGAGAAAAGUCUCUAUCGAGAUUAAAGGUACCCGUACCGCAAACCGACACAGGUGGGUGAGGAGAGUAUCCUAAGGCCAGCGAGAGAACUGUUGUUAAGGAACUCGGCAAAAUGACCCCGGGAUAAGGGGUGCCCCAGAAAUGGGGCCGCAGAGAAUUGGCCCAAGCGACUGUUUACCAAAAACAUAGGUUUCUGCUAAGUCGUGAGACGAUGUAUAGGAGCUGACGCCUGCCCGGUGCUGGAAGGUUAAGAGGAUCUGUUAGAGCAAUCGAAGCAGUGAUUUUAAGCCCCAGUAAACGGCGGCCGUAACUAUAACGGUCCUAAGGUAGCGAAAUUCCUUGUCGGGUAAGUUCCGACCCGCACGAAAGGCACUGUCUCAACAACAGACUCGGUGAAAUUGUAAUCCCGGUGAAGAUGCCGGGUACCUGCGACAGGACGGAAAGACCCCAUGGAGCUUUACUGUAGCUUGGCAUUGGGUCUUGGUACUACAUGUACAGUAUAGGUGGGAGGCUUUGAUUUCAGGACGCCAGUUUUGGAUGAGCCAUCGUUGGGAUACCACCCCUGUAGUACUGGGACUCUAACCAGAGGCCUUGAAUCAGGUCUUGGGACACUGUCAGGCGGGCAGUUUGACUGGGGCGGUCGCCUCCCAAAAGGUAACGGAGGCGCUCAAAGGUUCUCUCAGCACGGUCGGAAAUCGUGCAUAGAGUGUAAAGGCAUAAGAGAGCUUGAUUGCAAGACAUACAGGUCGAGCAAGGAUGAAAAUCGGACUUAGUGAUCCGGUGGUUCUGAGUGGAAGGGCCAUCGCUCAACGGAUAAAAGCUACCCUGGGGAUAACAGGCUUAUCUCCCCCAAGAGUCCACAUCGACGGGGAGGUUUGG
rnacentral:rRNA from 1 species